CCUACGGGAGGCAGCAGUGGGGAAUAUUUCACAAUGGGGGAAACCCUGAUGCAGCGACGCCGCGUGAGUGAUGAAGUCUUUCGGUAUGUAAAGCUCUAUCAGCAGGGAAGAGAAUGACGGUACCUGAGUAAGAAGCCCCGGCUAACUACGUGCCAGCAGCCGCGGUAAUACGUAGGGGGCAAGCUUUAUCCGGAUUUACUGGGUGUAAAGGGUGCGUAGACGGCGAAGAAAGUCUGAAGUGAAAGGCGGCGGCUCAACCGCGGAACUGCUUUGGAAACUUUUAUGCUGGAGUACCGGAGGGGUAAGUGGAAUUUCUAGUGUAGGGGUGAAAUGCGUAGAUAUUAGAAGGAACACCAGUGGCGAAGGCGGCUUACUGGAACGGAACUGACGUUGAGGCUCGAAAGCGUGGGGAGCAAACACGAUUAGAUACCCCGGUAGUC
rnacentral:rRNA from 1 species